UGGGCGUAAAGCGUGCGCAGGCGGUUUUGUAAGACAGGCGUGAAAUCCCCGGGCUCAACCUGGGAACUGCGCUUGUGACUGCAAGGCUAGAGUAUGGCAGAGGGGGGUGGAAUUCCACGUGUAGCAGUGAAAUGCGUAGAGAUGUGGAGGAACACCAAUGGCGAAGGCAGCCCCCUGGGCCAAUACUGACGCUCAUGCACGAAAGCGUGGGUAGCAAACAGGAUUAGAUACCCUGGUAGUCCACGCCCUAAACGAUGUCAACUAGGUGUUGGGUGGGUAAAACCAUUUAGUACCGGAGCUAACGCGUGAAGUUGACCGCCUGGGGAGUACGGCCGCAAGGUUAAAACUCAAAGGAAUUGACGGGGACCCGCACAAGCGGUGGAUGAUGUGGAUUAAUUCGAUGCAACGCGAAAAACCUUACCUACCCUUGACAUGUUCAGAAGCCUGAAGAGAUUUGGGUGUGCCCGAAAGGGAACUGGAACACAGGUGCUGCAUGGCUGUCGUCAGCUCGUGUCGUGAGAUGUUGGGUUAAGUCCCGCAACGAGCGCAACCCUUGUCGUUAAUUGCCAUCAUUUAGUUGGGCACUUUAACGAGACUGCCGGUGACAAACCGGAGGAAGGUGGGGAUGACGUCAAGUCCU
rnacentral:rRNA from 1 species